GAAUUGCUGUGGUAUACGAAUCCACAUCUAAGUGUUGACCGACUAAAUUUGUAUGAUUAGGGAAACAAAAGUCUUCUAACAGUAUGCAAGCCGUCUCACACGGAAGCGACUAAGUUAGAGCGAGUUGCCCACCUGCUUUUACCGUGCGGGUUCAAUACAAAUCGUGGAUCACCGGUACCAAUACAGCUUCUUG
rnacentral:other from 1 species